CCAGUCGGCCGGACGGCCGCUGCCCUCGGGCAGAGGAAAGUCCGGGCUCCACGGAGACACGGUGCCGGGUAACGCCCGGCGGGGGCGACCCCAGGGAAAGUGCCACAGAGAGCAGACCGCCCCGGUCCUGCAUGGGCCGGCGGCAAGGGUGAAAGGGUGCGGUAAGAGCGCACCGCGCGACCGGCAACGGGAGCGGCACGGCAAACCCCACCGGGAGCAAGACCGAAUAGGGACGGCACGGGUUCGCCCAGGCGGGUCUCCGCGCCGCCGUCCGGGUUGGUUGCACGAGGCGUCCGGCAACGGGCGUCCCAGAUGAAUGGCCGUCACGCGGGGCUUCGCCUCCGCCAUACAGAACCCGGCUUACAGGCCGGCUGGCACC
rnacentral:RNase_P_RNA from 1 species